AUUCACAGUCUAAACACUGAAUGUACAAGAACGAAAACCAGCGAGAUUCUUUAGGAAGGAGACGAGGAGAUGAGCAUGAAACGUUAAAUUGUUUGAGAUUCACUGGACUUAGAUUUCAUUGAAGACCUGUUUCACUCCAUGUGGCGUUUACACAGUUAAAUAUCUAAUAAUUCUACUUUUUCAAGAACAACAAUAGAAGUCCUACUUCUCAAAUUUAACACCUUGAAGGAAGAAACGCUUACGGACAUCCUCAUGUUAUGUACAAGCUUUUCUGCAGUGGGGAAUCCGAUGUCCUUCUACGCAGGCGCGAUGGUCAGAUUGAAAAGAGCGCGAACUGCGUGGCAAAAUUGAGCUGCAAGCACUGAGAAGUCGACAGAAACAGUGAUAUUUUUGCCCUUAGAGUUUAUGAGGAGCAAGAUGGAGUGGUGGUGGCGGCGUAGUGGGCUAAAGCACAGAACGGGAACAGUCAGUGUGAUGGUAUCUUGUUCAGAGGUUUGUCAUACGUCCCAUGAUGAAAGUAGGCAGAGAGUUCAGCAGAAGAAAGAAAGUCAUACACAUCUGGGAUGGCAUGAGGCUCUGUUUUAGGGUCACGUGACGUGUUAAUGAAUCGUGUUGUUAUCGGUGUCGUAGAAGAGGAACUAUGAAAGGAACGUAGACCAUCGGUUCAUUGGUCUGAAACUACAAGCAGCAUUGCAGUGUUGCCGUUCUCUUCAUUCUUAUCUGGUCUGUCAACAGGUUUAUAAGACACAGCAACAUUGCCUCAACCAAUGAGGUGAGUUUGGGACUGUUUGUUCAGACAGUUGAAGAAAAUGUCUUUAUUUUGCAGGUCUGUUGUACACAAUUACACAUUUCACCUUUGAAAGCUCAUUUUAAAUUGACUUCAAUGUUGAAGUGGGCUUUAUUUUAAGAAACACAGCUGGAGGUGGAAAAGAAAUACUUCAGCCAGCCAGCAGAUGGUGCUAUUGUUUUAGAGUUUGUUUUUUGUCUCUUAUGAACCUGUCAUGACUUGCACCUCUUAAGUGUUUUUUUGUUAUGUAGAUUGCACACAAGGAAGCCUUUUUAAUGGUAAACGCUUGUGACGUCAUAUAUUGGUCUUUAAGUGUGUUUGCUGUUGUUAUUACUUGUAUUCAAAAAUAUUAAACCCCAUAAAGCCAAAUUGCUGACAUUAUUAGAAGCGA